rnacentral:lncRNA from 1 species
CUCUGCGAAAUUUGAGGAUUAUAUGUUGCCCAAUUCUUAGGCAAAGUUGCUGAAAAAGAGGAAACAAGGAGUGGCUCAACAUUUCUCACAUCCCAAACAUCCAAAUUGAUAAUGAGUUUGUACAGAGAGAUGGAGUUUGGAUCCUACAAGAAGCUGGCGAAACUGCCCUUAAGUACUUCAUCAUCAACUCAUACAUCUUGAUCUUCUUUCUGUACUUGCUACAUGUUUGCUGUGAGAGGCAAACCAGACAUGGAACAACAACAUCAUCAUCAUCAGCACCAUCUUUAGCAAGCAAAGUACAAGCUCGCAAACAGAAAAACGACUGAACCUAAAUAGCCAGUUUAUGUAACUAUAACUUUU